rnacentral:tRNA from 1 species
AGCAGCGUGGCUCAGUGGAAAGUUCCUGGACUUCGGAGUCAGAGAUCAUGGGUUCGAUUCCCGGCUCUGCCA